rnacentral:lncRNA from 1 species
GUUAAUCAGACCUCCAAUCUCCUCUUUCACUGUGACAGUUCUCUUCCUCCCCCUCUUUCACUGUAACAUCCUCCUCUUCUUUCAAUCUUGUCAGAGCCUCUUUCAUUCCAAAAGCUUAUUUUUCCCUCUGCUUUCACUACAUAACUCCAGCAUCUCUCCAGGCGAGGGGUCCACUCAUCCUCCUCGGAGUCACUGGGUGCGAGAAGCUGAGCAUUGUUCACCAGUUUAAAUCUGCCUCUCCUCAUAAAAGCAGGUACUGGGGAGUUCAGCCCUGAGGGACACAUUCGCACACACAGCAGAGAUACUGCUCAAUACAACACAUAGUAGAGACACUGCUCAAUACAACAGUCGCCAUGUCUGAAAUCUGGCUUGCCUUAAACUGUAUAGUAUUUAGAAUGUACCGUUUCAUAAAAACUAAUGCAGUAAGCAAAAAAAAAUCUGCAUACUAGGCUAAUUCUACGUAUAAUCUAAUGCGCAAUUACGUUGAUUCCAGACAUUCGUUCAUUUUUGUAGAGCGCAUCCCAUCAACUAUUAUCAGAGCUGUUGUCAAAAAAUACUAAUAAUCACAUACACAAAAUGCCUACUAUUUAGAAUGCAUGUACAGGUAUUCGAACAUGGCCAAUGACUCCUAAAACGUGUAAAGACACACAGCUAGCUAACGUAUCUAAUCACCUAAUCUAAAACAUUCAGAUACCUUUCAAGUAAUAGUGAUGCAUUUAAAAUGUCCAUGAUAUAGGUCCAGGGGGGACACUUACCUAUAGCCAGGUGGUUCCUCUUCAAGUUUCUGUAGUGCACUCUCUCACAUUUCACUAGACCGGUCCAUUCCAUCUUUGAGAAAUAGGUCUUCAAAUCCUUGAAGUCAUACUAGGGGUGUGUGCAGGUGUAUCAUGGUGCAAAUGGCACAAGCAGACACUGAGCAUAUCAGCUAGCUAACUGUUAACGUUAGACAGCUUUACCGAUAACUAGCUAAUGUUUAUCCGGAUGAGUGGUCCAAUCCCCAUCUUCAAAUAUUAUGGCAACUACAUAAACUUUAAUUUGUGUUAGGUUUGUCCAUGCUACGCUAGCCGGAAGAUUCCCACCCUUCCAUUACACUUGUUUACAUUGAGCUGCACUGGGGUCUCAGGCCUAUCAAACCAUGAUGGCAUUAUCUGUCAUGGGUAUUACAUUUACAUCAUUUAGCAGACGCUCUUAUCCAGAGCGACUUACAAAUUGGUGCAUUCACCUUAUGAUAUCCAGUGGAACAACCACUUUACAAUAGUACAUCUAUAUCUUUUUUUGUGGGGGGGGGGGUUAGAAUGAUUACUUUAUCCUAACCCAGGUAUUCCUUAAAGAGGUGGGGUUUCAGGUGUCUCCGGAAGGUGGUGAUUGACUCCGCUGUCCUGGCAUCGUGAGGGAGUUUGUUGUACAUAGAAGCUGUUGUACACCAAGGGCACAGAUAAAAAUCUUUGCUAACUAGCUCCUUGUUCUACAGGAGGGUCUGAGUGAAGCGACCCACAGCACCAGUGGAAGGGAGGCAGGACGUUCCACUCAGGGAGGAGGGGCAGACACCCCAGCUCUCACUCAGAGAGGGACUCCCUUGUUGCACCCCAAACCAUCAACCUCAGGUAACAGGGACAGGAACAGACUGUUAGAAUUUUGAUAUUAUGAUUUUAUUUGGUCUGAGAGAAAAGAUGGGGCACAUUGACUGUUUCUGGAAAAACACUUAUAAACAAUAAUUAUUAUUAUCUUAUUCCACAUGCAAUACGGCUAUUAUUUUCAGUUGUGUGUGUAGUGCCUCCAGAAAGUAUUCACACCCCUUGACUUUUUCCCCAAAACAUUUUGUUACAGCCUGAAUUAUUAUUUAUUUAAUUGAGAUGUUUUUGUCACUGGCCUACACACAAUACCCCAUAAUGUCAAAGUUAAAUUAUGUUUUCAAAAUUGUUACUAAUUAAUGAAACAUUUUUAAAGUUGAAAUGUCUGUUCAACCCAUUUGUUCCUGAGUAAACAUUUGCUUAACAAGUCACAUAAUAAGUUGCCUGGACUCACUCUGUGUGCAAUAAUAGUGUUUACCUUAAUUUUUGAAUGACUACCUCAUCUCUGUACCCCAAAAAAUACAAUAAUCUAUAAGGUCCCUCAGUCGAGCAGUAAAUGUCAAAUAAACACCAGGGAUGUUUACCAUUGCCUCACAGAGAAGGGCACUUAUUGGUAGAUGGGUAAAAAAAAGCAAACAUUGAAUAUCCUUUUGAGCAUGGUGAAGUUAGUCAUUUCACUUUGGAUGGUCUAUCAAUACAUUACAAAGAUACAGGCGUCCUUCCUAACUCAGUUGCCGGAGAGGAAGGAAACCACUCAGGGAAUUUCACCAUGAGCCCAAUGGUGACUUUAAAAUUGUUAUAGUUUAAUGGCUGUGAUAGGAGAAAACUGAGGCUGGAUCAACAUUGUAGUUACUACACAAAACUAACCUAAUUGACAGAGUGAAAAUAAGGAAACCUGUACAGAAUAAAGAAUAUUCCAAAACAUGCAUUCUGUUUGCAAAAGGCACACAAAUAAUACUGCAACGAUUGUGGCAAAGCAAUUCACUUUUUAUCCUGAAUACAAAGUGUUAUGUUUGGGGCAAAUAUACCACAUUACUGAAUACCAUUCUCCAUAUUUUCAAGCAUAGUGGUGGCUGCAUCAUGUUAUGUUAUGGGUAUGCUUGUAAUCAGGCUGUUUUUCAGGAUAAAAAAGAAACAGAAUGGAGCUAAGCACAGGCAAAAUCCUAGAGGAAAACCUGGUUGUCUGCUUUCCACCAGACGAUGAAUUCACCUUUCAGCAGGACAAUAACUUAAAACACAAGGCAAAAUCUACACUGAAGUUGCUUAUCAAGAAGACAGUGGAUAUUCCUGAGUGGCCGAGGUAGAUUUAAGUCAAAACUAUGGCAAGGCCUGAAAAUGGUUGUAUAGCAAUGAUCAACCACUCCAGACCACCUUUACUCCACACACAGAGACGCAUACAAAGCUCUCCCUUGCCCUCCAUUCGGCAAAUCUGACCAUAAUUCUAUCCUCCUGAUUCCUGCUUACAAGCAAAAACUAAAGCAGGAACUACCAGUGACUCGCUCAAUACAAAACUGGUCAGAUACCGCAGAUGCUACGCUACAGGACUGUUUUUCUAGCACAAACUGGAAUAUGUUCCGUGAUUCAACCAAUGGCAUUCAGGAGUAUACCAUCUCAGUCAACCGGCUUUAUCAAAAAGUGCAUCGAGGAUGUUGUCCCCACAGUGUGUGUACGUACAUAUCCCAACAUGACACCAUGGAUUACAGGCAACAUCCGCAUCAAGCAAAAGGUGAGAGCUGCCACCUUCAAGGAGCGGGACACUAAUCCGGACGCUUAUAAGAAAUUCCUCUAAGCCCCCAGACGAACCAUCAAACAGACAAAGUGUCAAUACAGGACUAAGAUUGAAUCCUACUACACUGGCUCUGACGCUCGUCGGAUGUGGCAGGGCUUGCAAACUAUUACGGACUACAAAGGGAAACCCAGCCUACCAGAUGAGCUAAAUACCUUAUAUGCUCGCUUCGAGGCAAGCGACACUGAAGCAUGCAUGAGAACACCAGCUGUUCUGGACGACUGUGAUCACGCUCUCCGUAGCCGAUGUGAGCAAGUCCUUUUAAACAGGUCAACAUUCACAAAGCCACAGGGCCAGAUGGAUUACCAGGACGUGUACUCAAAGCAUGUGCGGACCAACUGGCAAAUGUCUUCAUUGACAUUUUCAACCACUCCCUGACCGAGUCUGUAAUACCUACAUGUAAUACCAUAGUCCCUGUGCCCAAGAAAGCGAAGGUAACCUGCCUGUAGCACUCACGUCAGUAGCCAUGAAGUGCUUUGAAAGGCUGGUCAUGAAUCACAUCAACACCAACACCAUCAUCCUGGAAACCCUAGACCCACUCCAAUUCGCAUACAUCCACAGAUGACGCAAUCUCAAUCGCACUCCCCACUUUGACUACAGCUCAGUAUUCAAUACCAUAGUACCCAAAAAGCUCAUCACUAAGCUAAGGAACCUGGGACUAAACACCUCCCUCUGCAAUUGGAUGCUGGAUUUCCUGACGGGUCACCCCCAGGUGUUAAGGGUUGGCAACAACACAACACAACACAUCUGGAAUCAACACCAAUCCAGAUAUGUCACAGACAUGCAUCAUCAGAGUGCGCAACAGGACAUUGUACUGUCUACACUCGGUUUGUUUAUAUUAAAACAUUUUCAUUAAAUCGAUUUUAAUCCGAACUAAAGUUUUGUUGCUAAGGAUUCCACAACGCGGUUAGCCUUUACCGCUGGGACUGCUUUGUGUUCCUUCUUUUGCGUGGAUUCUGUGAGUGCUAGCUGGUUGUUCUACAGACACAUGUCGUCGUCGUGGGAAAGACUCAUUGUUAUCUUUUCGUAAAACAACUGGUUGAAGUAAAGAGCCAAUCUGGAUACUAAGGAGAUCAUGAGGGAAAUCGACGAGUACCAACAGCUUUACGCUAUGGAGGAACAACAUACUCCAUCAUGGAAAGAUCCGACUACCUCACAAAAUAACUUUUAACCCGACAAAAAAAAGAAACAUUAAUCUACAGACAUGGACGAUUUACUUACCAUUGAGGUAGUGGCUAGUGCUCUGGCUGGAAUCCAUGCAACACUGGAAAAGUUGUGUGAGGAGGUAGCAGGGCUGAGGGGGAGUUUGGAGUUCAGCCAGAGUGAAAUUCUCACGCUCCAAAGAGGAAACAAGACACUCACAGCCAAGGUAAAAAUCCACGAUUCCAACAUGGAUUGUCUACUCAGGGAAAACAGGGUGAUGAAGGAGUCGCUACUAGACAUACAAAGUCGUAGCAUGCGUGAAAAUCUAUUUUUCCUGGGAUUCCUGACGACACAUCCAAUAAUCCGGAGGGUGCGAUCAGAGAAUUCAUGCAAUCCGCCUUGAAACUUCCUCUAGAGACUGUAAACAAGGUGGCUUUCCACCGAGUACACAGACUUGGGGCGACAAGACCAAGGGUCCCCGACCGAUCAUCACAAAAUCUGAACACUACCAACAAAAGGAGCUGAUCAAAAGCAGGGGAAGGGAGCUGAAAGGGACCAAAUUCGGUCUCAAUGACCAGUUUCCAAGGGAGAUAAACGGCCGUUGUAAGAGACUAUCCAGUACAAAGACAACAAAGGAAGGAUGGCUGUAACACAACACUGGUGUGAAUACUUUCUGAAAGCACUGUAGACUGGUGUGUGUGUGUGAGUGUGUGUGUGUGUGUGUCAGACCUGUGUAAGAAGAGAGAGUGGCUGGAAAGGCAGAAAGCACUAAACACAUACAAGCACGGUAGAAACCUGAGAGACAGACCAAGAAUCACUUACACAGAGGAGGAGGUCCCCAAAGAUGACCACUACCUCUACUGUGAGGAUUGCAAGUCUUUCUUCAUGGAGGAGUGUGAGCUCCAUGGUCCUGCCUUCUUCGUCCCUGACAUCCCUGCCCCCUUAGGAGCCCCUGAUAGGGCCAGACUCACCCUGCCAUCCGGCCUGGAGGUCAGGACAUCCGGCAUCCCUGAAGCAGGACUGGGUGUGUUCAACCAAGGAAACACUGUGCCUGCAGGAGCCCACUAUUAUGAAGGAGAGAUUACAGACAAGGACCAGGCCAUGGAGAGUGGAUACUCCUGGGUGUUGAGAGGAGUGUGUGUGUGAUAUAACACAUUUCCAUAAGUAUUCAGACCCUUUACUCAGUACUUUGUUGAAUCACCUUUGGCAGCGAUUACAGUAUCAAGUCUUCUUGGGUAUGACAUUACAAGCUUGGCACACCUGUAUUUAGGGAGUUUCUCCCAUUCUUCUUAGCAGAUCCUCUCAAGCUCUGUCAGGUUGGAUGGGGAGUGUUGCUGCACAGCUAUUUUCAUGUCUCUCCAGAGAUGUUCAAUCGGGUUCGCACGGGCUCUGGCUGGGCCACUCAAGGACAUUCAGAGACUUGUCCCGAAGCCACUCCUGAGUUGUCUUGGCUGUGUGCUUAGGGUCGUUGUCCUGUUGGAAGGUGAACCUUCGCCCCAGUCUGAGGUCCUGAGCGCUCUGGGGCACAUUUUCAUCAAGGACGUCUCUAUACUUUGCUCCGUUCAUCUUUCCCUCGAUCCUGACUAGUCUCCCAGUCCCUGCCGCUGUAAAACAUCCCCACAGCAUGGAGCUCUGUCAGAGUGACCAUCGGGUUCUUGGUCACCUCCCUGACCAAGGCCCCCCCUGCUCAUCCAGAAGGAGAGGUCAGUACAGGGGCAUCAAAGCUGGGACUGAGACUGAAAAACAGCUUCUAUCUCAAGGCCACCAGACUGUUAAAUAGCCAUCACUAGCACAUAGAGGCUGCUUUCUAUAUACAUAGAUUUG